GUUAACUCUCUUUGCAAUGAAUUGUGUUUUGCUUUGCUUCUGCUUGCUUUUUAUGCAGCUAAGCCACGCACGUCAUCAUGGUCAUCAUUCCAAAAGGGUUACAGCUGUUGUGGAAUUUGAUGGCCAGCGUAAAGUUAUAGAUAUGAGUUGAGGCUAGCUGGCGCUUUAAACCAAUUUGCAAAGCGUUAACAACUUAAUAAAGAAAAAAACGACUGCGUAAAAUUAAUUUUUUGAUUUACAUG